AAAUUGACUAUAGCAAAGAAAAGAGACAAGGUUCCCACUACCAAAGGACCAGAUAGUGAGAUUAUUUUGAGAAACCCACCUUCAAUUUACUAAAUAGAGUUUGAAGUUGCAUGGCUCGGUCUUUGGGAAGUUGAGGUAUCAAGAUAGGUAGCAACAUGCCAAAUGGUACCUGUUUUUGACGAUUAAUUUGGCCUCCUGGCUGCUCAUUGACUGUAGCCUGUUGAUUACUUAUUUGCUGCAACUUCGCAUACUGCUGAGAUUCGCUGCUGGGAUUAAGUGUUUUGGCUACCUCAUUAUUAGGAACAGGAUCUUUUCCCAAAUUUUGAAUUCCAACUGUCUGAGAAUUUUGAAGAGAAGCUUGUACAGGCUGUGGUUGGUGACCUUCAUCUUGAGUCUGCUUUUGUGAUAAAGCAGGAUUACUUACAGUCUGAGAAGCAACAUGCUGCGGCAAAGGAGGAUUAUUUACAUUCUGGGAACCAACAUGCUGUGGCAAAGGAGGAUUAUUUACACUCUGAGAACCAACAUGCUGUGGUAGAGGAGGAUUAUUUACGUCCGAGGAAGCAACAUGCUGUGGUAAAGGAGGAUUAUUUACGUCCUGGGAAGCAACAUGCUGUACUUGCUCAGCAAGAGAUCCAUGUUGCUUUUGCUCCACCUCAGAUGAAGGUUGCUCUCGUUGCUGUGCAGUUUCAGGCUCUUGAUUUUGAACUUGGGUUUGGUUUUCAUGGCUAGGAGUUGGCCACUGUGGCAUUGACUGAGUGAAUGUACUGUUGCUUCCUUGAGACAAAACUGCAGAGAGUAUAGAAGCACAAAGCAUAUGCAAUUCAUAAAUUACCAAGCAAAUAUAAAAAAUCACACGACUCAACAAUCAAUUAAAAGAAAAAUAAAAACAAACAAGAAAACUAACAUCUGAAAAUACAGAUAUUAGUACAGAAAUUCAUUUAGAAAAAUAUAUUUCAUUUGCGAAAAUAUCAACCAAAGCUUUGCAACCUCUACUGGUCAAAUUUGAUACUUGGAGUUAGAGGUCAUUGUGCUACAUUUAUUUGAUUGUAUUCUGCUAAAUAAUUAAGAUCAUCUAAGUUCUCAAAGAUGUUGUCCACUACCACUGUGUUGAUGAAACUUUUUAGUUUGUUCAACUACAUUCCUUGAUCUCCGCUUCAAGAGAUCUUUUAAAUGUGGUACCUCUACUAUUGUUUCUAGAUACCAAAAAUCAGAAAUAACACCUUGGGGAAAAGUACGUGNNNNNNNNNNNNNNNNNNNNNNNNNNNNNNNNNNNGUACGUGAUAAUAAUAAUAAUAAUAAUAAUAAUAAUAAUAAUAAUCAUCAUCAUUAUCAUCAUCAUCAUCAUCAUCAUCAUCAUCAUUUUGGCUAGGGGAUACAUUGUCCCUUAGAUAAAUUACAGCACUUACAUUACAGCCAGAUUUUAAAGGAUUUGUGUAGAUCCUUCCCAUUUAUGAACACUAGAGUAUAGUCAAACAUUUAUCUCCUUAUAAUAGAUUUUCCUUUUAUCGCUCAGAAUAAUUAAUCCAAACUCACUUUUCUAACACCAUCCCCAACCAUAAAACAACUCUUUCAAAAUCAAUUAUUUUGAUUGCAAUCUGACCAAAAUCUCGACCAAACAAGCUCAUAAACAAUAGUCUAAAGUCUAAACACUGUUUAUGCAGCCGUGUAUUCAAAUGGCAUAACAAGCGAUCAAAAACAAACAAACCAGAGAGAAUUUAACUAUUUCAACUCAGAAAAACAUUACACAUUAAAAAGCAUAGUUGGGGUACCUGGGUCUGAACCAGAAGUGGAAGCAGAUCCUCCUAUGUCUCUGUUUAGUGCAGCUUGGAAGGCUUCAACAUCCACCCCUGAAUGCAUUGUUUCAUCCUGUGAAGUACACAUCCAGACAUAGUGGUUCAGCAACACCCCAAACAAAUAAAUAACAAAAGAAAACCAUAGGUAAAAAGCGGGGAAAAACCUCGUCAUCUUCGAGGAGCUUCAUAAUAGAAGGAUCCAUGGCAAUGGCAAUUCCAAUCCCAACUCUGAUUACCCAACAGAAGUUUAAGAGUUAUUCGAACAUACAGUAUAAUCUCUCGCUCUAUUUAUGUUUCACUGGGUAAAUUCAUCAAACACCUGUAGGGCAGCUACCCAGUUGAAAAACGCAACAAAGGGGAAAAUGAAUGGGGAUAAUUAAUGGUAAAAUAGGGUAUUAGCUACCGAAUAGAAAAAGAAAAAGAAAAAGGAAGAGUAAAAUAGAACAACCAAAACGGGGAUAAUUAAUAAUAGGGUAUUAAUAGCGAGUAAGAUAACAACCAAAUAGGGAAAAGAAAAAGAAAGGGGAAAAUAGAGAAAAGGGGAAAAAGGAUCAAAGGAGAGAAGUGAGAAUCCCGUUCAACAAGAACCAACACCAAAACGCGCGAAGUAUUGAACAGUGGCGUUCACACAGAGAAGAUACAAAAGCAUGGCAUCGACCUCCUUCUUUUGUUGAGUUUAAUCGGUUUAUAAUAUUUUUCGAGUUUAACGGAUUCUCUCGGUUCGUUCUUGCGUUAACGAGUACGAUUUUUCAACUUACGUCAUCUUUUUUAUAUGUUCUUUUUUUUGUACUAAAAGAAAUGUAUAAUGAAAAAUAACAAUUUGAGAAAAAAAAAUUAUUUUUUGUUUUAGUCUCUAAAGCUGUGUUCACAAAUCGAUAUAAUUCUUAAUUUUUAAAGCGUAUCAACUAAAUAAUGAUUGAGAAUCUUAAUUUACUCUUUUAAUUUUAACCAUAUAUAUUUUAUAUUUUAGGGAUAAGUACUUUUUUCGUCCCCAAAGUCUAGGCUCAAAAUCGAUUUCGUCCCUAGCCUUUUUUUUUUUGUUAAAAUCAUCCUCAACGUUUAAAAAUACUUUAAAAUCGUCCUUUUCUAUUUUUUUUGACCAAAUUACCUUUAACUAUUAAUAAAAAUUAAAAAAAAAAAACCCCCCCCUCACCCCNNNNNNNNNNNNNNNNNNNNNNNNNNNNNNNNNNNNNNNNNNNNNNNNNNNNNUUAAUUUAAUUUAACUUUAAUUUAUGAUCCAAUUUCAGACAUCAUAUUAUUCACAAAUUAAAAAAUGUAGCUGUUACAAUAAUAUUUAAUUAUCUAUAUCAAUAUUACACUAAUAUGAAACAAAAGUCCUGCCAAAAAACAAAGAGAGUGACAUUAUUAUAAGACUUAGUAGAUUUUUUUUUAAAUAAAUCAAAAUUCAAAUCAACACUUUUAAGUUUCAAAGAGUAAAAUAAAUAUCAAGAUUGCGAGAACCGAAUUGGUCAAUAAACCGGUAAAGUCAUUGAUUUAAUAGUUUAUUGGUUCGACUGGGAUUCAAUCAGAAUUUGACCGAAAUUCAACCAGUUUAAUUAAAUAUUAAUUAAAAUUAUUAAAAAAAUUACAUAUAAUUUUAAAUAUAUAAAUUCAAUCAUUUCUAACUUAAUAAAAUUAAAAUUUUCACAAUUUUACAUGAUAAAUUAUUCAUAAUAGUUAGAAAUUAAAACUUUCACAAUUUUACAUGAUAAAUUAUUCAUAAUUUAAUAUUAGAAGUUCACAAACAUAUGUUGAUGUUUUUAGUAUACAAGCCAUGAAUGAGCGACAAUUUCGACAUCCGUGGUUAUCUUUCGAGCACAGCAAUUACAUCCUUGACAGAGAUGCUUCCGGCCAUUUUAGUUUGAGUCAGAAGGAAUCAUUUCUCCCAUGUUUUCUGCCAGCCUCUGUCUGGAAGAGUCAAAAGCACAAAUAUCUGGACAAACAAUCAAACAGCAAUAACCUGGUUAAAUUAUCACCCUCCAUGCAAGAUAAUAUAAUUCAACGACAACGCCGCAUUUUCAUCUACAACUUAAUAGUUUUAGGGAUGUCAGUUUUGUGAAUACUAUACCUGACAUUGACUUGCAUCUUGUGGUUAAGUUAUUUGACAACCGAAAUGACAGAUAAAGAGUUUAAAAGAAAACUCACCUGAAGUUGCAGAAGUAGUAGAACCUUUUAUAUCCCCUUUGUGAUUAUCCUUUGAACUUUUUCCAGAUGCUCAAGAUUUGUGAUUUACAUCUUUAGCUGGUUGAAAACCAGAUGACAUGUCUGUCCCUCCUUCGUGUUUCUGCCUGGCUUGCUCCACCGUAAGUUGCCACUUCGAGAGAAUGCCGUCUCCCCCAAGUCACAGCUCACUAAGACACUAAACCAAACAAACAACUAAAAUAUCAUGGUCAACCAAAGAUCAAAAGGGUUUUAGUGGGGAAAACAAUAAGUUAUCUUUAAUUCUAGACUUCUUGUCCUUAACACAUCCUGUUCUUCAAUGUUGUAUUAAGCGUACCUUCCCCAUGGGGAGAAAAAUCACAAUUGUUUUAAUCUUCUCGUGGAUACUUAAUUUCAUAUAAAAAAGAACUCAAUAAACAACCAAAAAUAAAAUAACAUAAAAGAGGAAGCAGAAAUGACUGUUUUCUUAGAACUGACUUACAAGAAGAUUGAAAUAUGAAUAAGGACAGCAAAAAAAAAACCAUAGCUAUCAACAAUUUAAUUACUGAAUAUCAUCACUAAGAGAACACAUAUUAUGUACAUAUACAUUUAAUAUAGCGUUGGUACUACAGGUAUCAGGUGCAUACCGCAUAUUAACAAUCAUAAUUGGACAGUAUUUAAUCCACAAAAGUUAAGCCACUGCAUUAGUCAAGAUCAAGUAUAUCACUCUCAAACGAGACAGUAGGAACUAGUUGACCCAUUCCAGAAGGGGAAGCAGAAAUGAGUGACGUUAAGGCCAGUAGAUGUUGUAGGUGCCAUACUUCUGGAUGCUGGAACGCCCCUUGAGAAUUCGUCCUUUAUAGUUCCUUGAUUGGCACCUCCUGGUUCAAUUUGUGCAGAAUUACCAGAACACAAUCCAUGCAUUUUAGAAAUAUUCUGCCAGUCGCUGCUCAGUGGGUAAUUCACUAAGUUCCUUUUUUACAUAACCAGAUGACAAUAGCCCUGAAUUUUGAUCUUUGUUUGAUGGUGGUUGCCAUGCAUUUGGAGUUUGUUGGGAUGAUGGAUUGUUUAACAGAGCAACAGAUUCACCUGGCAGACACUUGGGAUCAUUGGAAGUGUUCUACCAUUCAAGUUUUGGCAUACCAAUGAAGCCUUGUGUUGUCCCACCUAAGUGAUUUGGAUAAGUGCUUUGAGGCGGAAAUUGAUUCAUAUGUGACUCAUAUGGUGGUGGUCUGAUAGAUGAAGCAGUACUACUUGUUGGCCUUGAAAAAGGCUUAUAAUUACCACCACUACUACCAUAUGCUGAUGGGAAAUGUAGAUACUGCUGCUGUGGCUGCUUAUUGCCUCUGUAUGUGAAGAGAUCAUCUUUCUGCUUCCUGAUUAACAGUGUUGGAAUUGCAAUAUGCCAACUGGCUCGGUUGCAAACCCUGAGUUUCCAUUCUUGAGAUUUUCUAGCAUUGUUCUCCAUAGUUUGGACAGCUGAAUAAGUCAUAUGAGAUUGGUCUGCAGCAGCAUUCAUACUUCACUGAUGAAGCGGAGCUAAAGCAUGCGGAUCAUUUAAUUGCCUGGCACCUAAGCCAACAGUGGGCAUCCGAACAGGGUGCUGCUGCUCCACAGGUCCUUGGUUGGGCCUUGCACCUAAGCCAACAGUGGGCAUCCGAACAGGGUGCUGCUGCUCCACAGGUCCUUGGUUGGGCCUCAUCUGUAACAGCUGAAUAGAACAAUGAAUCUUAGCAUGAUAUCAACAUAUAUAUUUCAUGGGACCUGUAAAACUCAUCCAUAACAAGAAUUAAACUUGUUCUCAACCUACCUGUGCUUGUAUUUUUGCCAUUGCUAAUCUAAGCAUCUGGCCCCCUACAAUACCUUUCAUAAGCCGCACAAAACUGUCUUUUGCUAUUUCGUCUUUCUAUAACACACAAUAAAUGCACAAAACAGAAAGUGAGUAGCAUGGGAUAUCUGUUCCUAAGUUGAUCAUAUCCUAUCAACACAAAACUGACUUUAGCAAAGAAAAGAGACAAGGUUCCCACUACCAAAGGACCAGGUAGUGAGAUUAUUUAGAGAAACCCACCUUCAAUUUACUAAAUAGAGUUUGAAGUUGCAUGGCUUGGUCUUUGGGAAGUUGAGGUAUCAAGAUAGGUAGAAACAUGCCAAAUGGUACCUGUUUUUGACGAUUAAUUUGGCCUCCUGGCUGCUCAUUGACUGUAGCCUGUUGAUUACUUAUUUGCUGCAACUUUGCAUACUGCUGAGAUUCGCUGCUGGGAUUAAGUGUUUUGGCUACCUCAUUA
rnacentral:lncRNA from 1 species